rnacentral:rRNA from 1 species
AGAAUUGACGGGACCCGCACAAGCGGUGGAUGAUGUGGUUAAUUCGAUGCAACGCGAAAACUUACCACCUUUGACAUGUACGGAACCCUUUAGAGAUAGAGGGUGCUCGAAAGAGAGCCGUAACACAGGUGCUGCAUGGCUGUCGUCAGCUCGUGUCGUGAGAUGUUCGGUUAAGUCCGCUAACGAGCGCAACCCUCGCUGUGUGUUAUAUGUGUCACACGGGACUGCCGGUCUUAAGCCGGAGGAAGGUGGGGAUGAUGUCAAGUCAGCAUGGCCUUUAUAUCCUGGGCUACACACACGCUACAAUGGCCAACACAAUAGGUUGCUAAGCCGCGAGGUGGCGCCAAUCCAUAAAGUUGGUCUCAGUUCAGAUUGUAGGCUGCAACCCGCCUGCAUGAAGAUGGAGUUGCUAGUAACCGCAGGUCAGCUAUACUGCGGUGAAUACGUUCCCGGGGCUU